rnacentral:rRNA from 1 species
UACGGGGGGGGCAAGCGUUGUUCGGAAUUACUGGGCGUAAAGGGCUCGUAGGCGGCCAACUGAGUCAGACGUGAAAUCCCCCGGCUUAACCUGGGAACUGCGUCUGAUACUGGAAGGCUUGAGUUCGGGAGAGGGAUGUGGAAUUCCAGGUGUAGCGGUGAAAUGCGUAGAUAUCUGGAGGAACACCGGUGGCGAAGGCGGCAUCCUGGACCGAAACUGACACUGAGGCGCGAAAGCCAGGGGAGCAAACGGG